rnacentral:rRNA from 1 species
GUCGAACGCUGGCGGCGUGCCUAAUACAUGCAAGUCGAGCGGACGAAUCGAAAGCUUGCUUUUGAUUCGUUAGCGGCGGACGGGUGAUUAACACGUGGCCACCCUGCCCUGUAGACUGGGAUAACACCGAGAAAUCGGUUCUAAUACCGGAUAACACGAAAUGUCGCAUGACUUUUCGUUGCACGACCUCUCAGGCUGUCGCUACACGGUUUGCCCGCGGCGGAUUAGCUAGUUGGUGAGGUAACGGCUCACCAAGGCGACGAUGCGUAGCCGACCUGAGAGGGUGAUCGGCCACACUGGGACUGAGACACGGCCCAGACUCCUACGGGAGGCAGCAGUAGGGAAUCUUCCGCAAUGGACGAAAGUCUGACGGAGCAACGCCGCGUGAGCGAAGAAGGCCUUCGGGUCGUAAAGCUCUGUUGUUAGGGAGGAACAAGUAACGCAGUAACUGGCGUUACCGUGACGGUACCUAACGAGAAAGCCACGGCUAACUACGUG